rnacentral:rRNA from 1 species
UACGGAGGGUGCGAGCGUUGUCCGGAAUCACUGGGCGUAAAGGGCGCGUAGGUGGCUCGUGAAGCGUGCGGUGAAAGUCCGAGGCUCAACCUCGGAUCGGCCGUGCGGACUCGCGGGCUCGAGCGUUGUAGAGGCGGGUGGAAUCCGGGUGUAGCGGUGGAAUGCGUAGAGAUCCGGAAGAACACCGGUGGCGAAGGCGGCCCGCUGGGCAACUGCUGACACUGAGGCGCGACGAGCGUGGGGAGCAAACAGG